rnacentral:lncRNA from 1 species
UUUUCUGUUUUCUAUUUAAUGAGUAGUGUAGAUAUAAAUACCAUUGGUGGACUUUUUUCUGUUUUCUAUUUAAUGAGUAGUGUAGAUAUAAUACCCAUUGGUGGAUUUUUUGUUUCUAUUAAGAGUAGUUAUAAAUACUUGGUGGACUUUUUUCUGUUUUCUAUUUAAUGAGUAGUGUAGAUAUAAAUACCCAUUGGUGGACUUUUUUCUGUUUUCUAUUUAAUGAGUAGUGUAGAUAUAAAUACCCAUUGGUGGACUUUUUUCUGUUUUCUAUUUAAUGAGUAGUGUAGA